CCGACCUUAGCUCAGUUGGUAGAGCGGAGGACUGUAGAUCCUUAGGUCACUGGUUCGAAUCUGGUAGGUUUGA
rnacentral:tRNA from 1 species